rnacentral:rRNA from 1 species
ACACUCCUACGGGAGGCAGCAGUAGGGAAUCUUCCACAAUGGGUGCAAACCUGAUGGAGCAAUGCCGCGUGAGUGAAGAAGGUCUUCGGAUCGUAAAGCUCUGUUGUUAGAGAAGAACACGUGCUAGGUAACUACUAGCGCCUUGACGGUAUCUAACCAGAAAGUCACGGCUAACUACGUGCCAGCAGCCGCGGUAAUACGUAGGUGACAAGCGUUGUCCGGAUUUAUUGGGCGUAAAGGGAGCGCAGGCGGUCUGUUUAGUCUAAUGUGAAAGCCCACGGCUUAACCGUGGAACGGCAUUGGAAACUGACAGACUUGAAUGUAGAAGAGGAAAAUGGAAUUCCAAGUGUAGCGGUGGAAUGCGUAGAUAUUUGGAGGAACACCAGUGGCGAAGGCGAUUUUCUGGUCUAACAUUGACGCUGAGGCUCGAAAGCGUGGGGAGCGAACAGGAUUAGAAACCCGGGUAGUCCCA